GCCGGUGUGGCGGAAUGGUAGACGCGACGCACUCAAAAUGCGUUGUCCACAGGGCGUGCGAGUUCGAGUCUCGCCACCGGCAC
rnacentral:tRNA from 1 species